GGGGUGGAGGGGUGGAGAGGUGGAGGGGUGGAGAGGUGGCACAGGGGUGGAGAAGUGCUGGAUGCCAGGGAACAGUGAGGUGGAUCCAUCAUUAAGGGAAGGGGUUGGAACCCAACUGGUGAAUGUGGAGGUUCUGGUACUAUGAAGUUCUACUGGGGCAGCUGGCGCCGGGGCAACCAUCGCCGGGGCAACCAGCGCAGCGCAUCGAGGCCCAGAGGCUGUCAGGGGCCACCUAGGAAGGGGAUCUUUGAGGCUCUACCUGUGGGCCCUCACUCCGAUGACCGUUUCACGCAGACAGAGAAUUUUUAGGUAGACGGGCUAUAACACAAUCUUCUAAGUAAUCAUUCAACGACAACACUAAAGUUAUUUGUAACUCUGAUAGCUAUAUAUACCACCUUCCCAUUUUGUGUAUAAUUACAGUUUUGAGUGUUUUUAUAUAUUUGUAUUUGUCCAAAACAGCAUGACGUAUUAAAGAAAUAUUGUUCCAGAGCCAUUUUGUACCCACCACUUAUUUAACUUUUCUCAAAAAGGCUUGACCUUGCUCCCUGUCAUUCGGGAUCACUUGCGUGGACGUCGUGACAUCAGUGUUUUUUUUGCAAUGGUUCUUCAGUAAACGGACAAUAUGUUAGCAGCAAUAAACAUUUUUAGCAAGCCAAAACAAAAACAAAAGAAAAAGGAAAAAAGAGAACAAAUAGUGUACUGCUAAGCUCAAGUUGAUAAAGUCUUCUUUAAAGGAGCAGCAUGGGACGAGAAAGACUCAGUGAAUUGGCUAUACUCUCAAUAGAGAAAAGCAGAGCCAGGAGUUGGACUUGAGCAGUGUUGUUAAUGACUGCGCUGAGAGCAAGGCCCGUAGGGACGUCUAAUGGGGGAGUACAGGCUUCUCUUUGUCAUGGAGUGGGAUCAGGGAUUUAAAUCUGUAGCAAUGUAAUGGUUCCCUCUCUUAUGUUGGAGAAUGUGCACUUACUGUAGUCUGUGUCUGUUACAGCAUCUGGCCGCUGAGCCGCUGAUGAUUAAUGCAAGUGAUUGUGUGAUCAGGUGCCGUCGUCCAUUAAUUCAUGCGGUGUAGGCCUAUAAUGAGUUGCUGUGCUUUUCCUGAGGGCUAUUUGUUGUAUACUUCUCGACAUACUGUGGAAGAGACCUUUAUUGUUGAUUUGUUAGUGUAAGCUGGCUAAAGCUAUUUCCGAUGUUUUGGUAGUUGGAGAAAUUAGGCUGUGGUGGAGUCCAGGGCUGGCUGUUAGAUUAACAUUGAUACGGUUUCCCCCACCA
ensembl:lncRNA